UACGUAGGGUGCAAGCGUUGUCCGGAAUUAUUGGGCGUAAAGAGCUCGUAGGCGGUCUGUCGCGUCGGCUGUGAAAACCCGGGGCUCAACCCCGGGCCUGCAGUCGAUACGGGCAGACUAGAGUGCGGUAGGGGAGACUGGAAUUCCUGGUGUAGCGGUGAAAUGCGCAGAUAUCAGGAGGAACACCGGUGGCGAAGGCGGGUCUCUGGGCAGUAACUGACGCUGAGAAGCGAAAGCAUGGGGAGCGAACAGG
rnacentral:rRNA from 1 species